rnacentral:lncRNA from 1 species
CAACGCAUGCCUUUCCCGUGCUUCGGCCAUUCCCUGGAAGGGUUCAGCUCCGGAAAGAAUUUAACAUAACCUGAGCUCAGUCCAGUGGCUGCCCAAAGGCCCUGUUUCAGCAGAUGUGCCUGGCAGGAGCAGUGGUGCUUUAUUAUGUCAGAUUUCACACUGUUGGCCCACAAUACAAGACAUGUCUUUGACCUCUGGUGCCCACAUUUUCCUCAGGGUGAUAACUCUACAGAAAAUGCUGCAUUCUCUCUGGGUCAUGUGAGAAGCCUCUUUGGCAUGAGCUUGUGAGAGCUGCUGUGGGCAGCAGAAGGUUGCCCAGUUGUUUGCCUGACUUCCAGCUGCGGAUGCUGUACACCUGCAAAAGGU